GGUGUUGUACCCAAGUGGCCUAAGGGAACGGUCUGCAAAACCGUCUUUCAUCGGUUCGAAUCCGAUCGACACCU
rnacentral:tRNA from 1 species